rnacentral:tRNA from 1 species
GUACGUGUAGCUCAGCUGGAUAGAGCGUCUGGCUACGGACCAGAAGGCCGCGAGUUCGAAUCUUGCCACGUACA